rnacentral:rRNA from 1 species
GUGAACCUGCGGAAGGAUCAUUACCGAGUGAGGGCCCUCUGGGUCCAACCUCCCACCCGUGUUUAUUUUACCUUGUUGCUUCGGCGGGCCCGCCUUAACUGGCCGCCGGGGGGCUUACGCCCCCGGGCCCGCGCCCGCCGAAGACACCCUCGAACUCUGUCUGAAGAUUGUAGUCUGAGUGAAAAUAUAAAUUAUUUAAAACUUUCAACAACGGAUCUCUUGGUUCCGGCAUCGAUGAAGAACGCAGCGAAAUGCGAUACGUAAUGUGAAUUGCAAAUUCAGUGAAUCAUCGAGUCUUUGAACGCACAUUGCGCCCCCUGGUAUUCCGGGGGGCAUGCCUGUCCGAGCGUCAUUGCUGCCCUCAAGCACGGCUUGUGUGUUGGGCCCCGUCCUCCGAUCCCGGGGGACGGGCCCGAAAGGCAGCGGCGGCACCGCGUCCGGUCCUCGAGCGUAUGGGGCUUUGUCACCCGCUCUGUAGGCCCGGCCGGCGCUUGCCGAUCAACCCAAAUUUUUAUCCAGGUGACCUCGGAUCA